rnacentral:rRNA from 1 species
AUGGGUGGCCUCUCCCUUCAGCACCCGUGGGCCUUUGCCUUUGGCCUCCUAGGCAACGUCAUCUCCUUCAUGACCUACCUGGCCCCACUGCCAACGUUCUACCGGAUCUACCGGAGCAAGUCGACGCAGGGAUUCCAGUCGGUCCCGUAUGUGGUGGCGCUCUUCAGCGCGAUGUUGUGGAUCUACUACGCGCUGCUCAAGUCUGACGAGCUCCUGCUCAUCACCAUCAACUCUGCCGGCUGCGUCAUCGAAGCCAUCUACAUCGUCAUGUACCUCGCUUACGCGCCAAAGCAAGCCAAGAUGUUCACGGCGAAGAUCCUCCUCCUCCUGAACGUGGGUGUGUUUGGCCUCAUCCUACUCCUCACCCUGCUGCUGGCGGGGGGCGAGAAGCGCGUCGUCAUGCUUGGGUGGGUCUGCGUCGGCUUCUCAGUCAGCGUCUUCGUCGCGCCCCUCAGCGUCAUCCGCCUUGUGGUGCGUACCCGGAGCGUGGAGUUCAUGCCCUUUUCACUCUCCCUCUCUCUCACCGCCAGCGCCGUAGUCUGGUUCCUCUACGGCCUCCUCAUCAAGGACAAAUACGUCGCUCUUCCCAACAUCCUGGGGUUCGCCUUUGGGGUGAUCCAGAUGGGGCUCUAUGCCCUCUACUGCAAUGCCACGACUAGGCAAGCGCCGAAGGAGGUGGACGGACCACUGCCUGAGCAUGUCAUCAACGUUGCUAAGCUCGGCCCAAUGGCUACUAUCGAGCUCAACAUGCCCGCAGCCGUCCAGCCACCUACGAAGGAGAACAUCGUAGCUUGUGCCAGCGGCGAGAGCAAAGAGAUCAGCGUUGAGAAGGUUGACAUGGCAACCAAUGUCGAGCAUGUAUAG